AGACUAAAAUUUUUCUACUAGUAAAGAAUUGUUAAUUCUAUAAAAAUCUCUAAAAAUACUUGGCAGUAUAAUUUCGACGCAGUGGCUUUAAUCUGAAAUCUGGAUAACUCGUUACCAAUAUGGCUGCAUGAAUGCGGAUUUCUAUUCGAAUUGGUCAAACGGUUACUUUUGCAAUAAAUAUCAAUGUAAACGUAUAAAAAAAAUUUGUUUGCAUUCUGAAAAUGUCACCGAAACUUUGUAUUUGCUAAUGUUUUAUAUAGAUUAAUAAAUUGAAGAAUUGUGUCUGUAACACUACGAAAUUCAUGUCGAACCGCACACAGACGCAUAUUUAAUUAAAGAAGAGACGACAGAAAAAGCGGGAAGAAGAGAUUUAAUCAAAACCUGAACAACAAUGGAGAAAGAAGUAAGGCGAAAAAUAGAAAAGUUCAAUUGAAGAUGAUUAUUGUUUUGUUAACUAUCUUGUUAAAUUGACUACUUGAAAUUUAAAUUAUAUUGUGGCAACACGACAGCAAUGCUCUAAUACAACUCUACAUGCUAUAUGGUCGAACUUGAGCACUUUUCCUAAUAGAUGUUGGACAAAAGUAUCUUAACUAACUCCAGCAGCUCAUACUGCUUCUUCGACAUCUUUCUAUAUUAUAACGGCUGCCCCACUCUUCAAACCAGAAGAAUUACCGGCUGUAAUUGGCGUGAUGGUUGUGCGGACUUCUGGUGGCUCACGUGUUUCCAUAAGAUCUUGGGUUCUAGAGUCAAUAGUCAUUACAAAGUGAAUAAAGGCAAGUUUGUGGGUCCUACCUAUGCGAGCUUCUAAUACACAUAGUACAACCAGCAAUACAAAAAAAAAAGAAUCAAGUAUCAUUUUUAGUCAUUUCAAAAUGAGUAGUUCUAGUAGCCGUAAACUAUUCGAAUACUUUUUAUAUGUAGUAAUAAUAAUAUUCUGCGAUGUGAU